AAGAACAAGGACCAACACUCCGAAUCCCAACUCAACGCUUAAAGGAGAAGAAGAAUUGUUCUAAUGUCAGGUUUUGUAGCUAUGGUUCAUACUCCUUUGCUCUUGCAUCACUGUAUUUACUCAGACCAACUAUUUUCAAAUUUGAAGGAUGGAAUUGAAACUCGAAUGGCGCAAUAGGUAUGUUUUAAACUUGUUUCUUUAACUAGUUUGUUUUUGUAACUUGCUCCAUAUUGAUUUCAGUUUCAAUUGAAUAAACAGUUAUGUUCUCAUGUCAUGCACAUUAAAAGUGUCUCUAUAGUUUCCCACACUUACAUUCUUUCUAUUCUACUUUGUCUUGAACAAAUAUUAUUUGAACUGUGUCUCUAUCUUGAUUUGGCAACAAAAACUAGAAUGAUAUAGACCAUAAAGUGACCAUGGUACAUAGAUAUAUGUUUGUUUCAUGCUUUUAUCCUGUGCACUUUACUACUGAACUAAUUUACCAAAAUGAGUUUCAUAUACAUCAUGGUAAACCUGUGACGUGUCUGCUUGUUUCUCUUUUAGAAUGCGGACAAAAUAUUGGAGAACAAUACCCCAUUAUGCAAUGGUGAAGUAAGUAAUGCAGAUAAGGUUCAAGAUAGUGAGACAUCCAUGUUGGUCUCCCAGAAAGCUGAUAAAAACUACCUUGACGAAAGUGAGAGAACCC
rnacentral:lncRNA from 1 species